AUCCAGCUAGUGACGAGUCCCAAACAGGACGACAUGCACGUCCUGGAU
rnacentral:hammerhead_ribozyme from 1 species